rnacentral:lncRNA from 1 species
CCUAUAGGCUCCAGGAGAAGGUCCUGGAAGAGACUGCCCCGGGGGAACAAGCCCACCCUGCUUGUUCAGGUUUCCUGAAGCUGAGCCUGGAAUCCACAAUUCAAGGGCCGUUUCUUCUAUUUCAUAGAUUUUUUUUCCUUCUGGAAAUCCUAUGAACGCUGUAUGUCAGUGAGGAUUGUUUUUGAGUGUAACUAAGGGACUUUGAAUUUGCUGAAUCAUCACAGGUUGGAAUCAUCCUUCGGAUCAGGAAGCAGGUAUGGAAUUAGCAAGGAACCUCUGCCCGUCAUAGUCACAUUGGGACCAAGUGUAGCAGAACAGCCAGGAUCUCCAAUGUCAUUAGUCACUGUGCCAGAAGGAAAGGAGCUCUGGAGAGAUUCCCAUCUGCAAUUGAAAGCAUCCUGUAAGUGACACAUGCCACCCCUGGUCUAGUUGCAAGACGCCACCCGGCCACAAGGGGGUCAGGCAGGAAAGAGGACCAGGCACAGCACACU